rnacentral:rRNA from 1 species
CCUACGGGGGGCUGCAGUGGGGAAUAUUGCACAAUGGGCGCAAGCCUGAUGCAGCGACGCCGCGUGAGGGAUGACGGCCUUCGGGUUGUAAACCUCUUUCACCAGGGACGAAGCGAAAGUGACGGUACCUGGAGAAGAAGCACCGGCCAACUACGUGCCAGCAGCCGCGGUAAUACGUAGGGUGCGAGCGUUGUCCGGAAUUACUGGGCGUAAAGAGUUCGUAGGCGGUUUGUCGCGUCGUUCGUGAAAACUUGGGGCUUAACUCCAAGCGUGCGGGCGAUACGGGCAGACUUGAGUACUACAGGGGAGACUGGAAUUCCUGGUGUAGCGGUGAAAUGCGCAGAUAUCAGGAGGAACACCGGUGGCGAAGGCGGGUCUCUGGGUAGUAACUGACGCUGAG